AGAACGAACGCUGGCGGCAUGCCUAAUACAUGCAAGUCGAACGAACUCUUCGGAGUUAGUGGCGCACGGGUGCGUAACGCGUGGGAAUCUGCCCCUUGGUUCGGAAUAACAGUUGGAAACGACUGCUAAUACCGGAUGAUGACGAAAGUCCAAAGAUUUAUCGCCAAGGGAUGAGCCCGCGUAGGAUUAGCUAGUUGGUGAGGUAAAGGCUCACCAAGGCAACGAUCCUUAGCUGGUCUGAGAGGAUGAUCAGCCACACUGGGACUGAGACACGGCCCAGACUCCUACGGGAGGCAGCAGUAGGGAAU
rnacentral:rRNA from 1 species